GAAAUGGAGCCGAUUUGCUCCCUCUAGCAUUAUAUCGUCUAAUUACUAGACUUACGACUUCGGAACAUUCAUUCAGCUUACUUGUUGUUGAUGGCUACCAUACACAGGAUAAGCCCCAUAAGCUGCAGCAUACAUGGUUGGGUCAGGAGGUGGCGCCAGAGCAUAGCCAUAACCAUCAUAGACUUACGACUUCGGAACAUUCAUUCAGCUUACUUGUUGUUGAUGGCUACCAUACACAGGAUAAGCCCCAUAAGCUGCAGCAUACAUGGUUGGGUCAGGAGGUGGCGCCAGAGCAUAGCCAUAACCAUCAUAGAUCUGCCCCCCGUAGUAUGCCCCAGUCCACUGGUUGCCAAAGUCUCCCCUAAACUGCCACACCACAAAGUGCUGAUUAAGCAAAACAGGGUAGCAUAGCAAAAUUAUGCCAGCUCAAAUUCUUCAGAUGAAGUCAUCGCAAAAGUUCAAUUAAACUUUCAAUAGGUAUUCACAUGUAUAGGGGCUAUUACUAGAUUUCCAAUUUUAGGAAGAGUGGAGAGGAGGAAAAC
rnacentral:lncRNA from 1 species